rnacentral:rRNA from 1 species
UGCCAGCAGCCGCGGUAAUACGGAGGGUGCGAGCGUUAAUCGGAAUUACUGGGCGUAAAGCGCACGCAGGCGGUUUGGUAAGUCAGCUGUGAAAGCCCUGGGCUCAACCUGGGGACUGCAGUUGAUACUGGCCGACUAGAGUACGAGAGAGGGAGGUAGAAUUCCACGUGUAGCGGUGAAAUGCGUAGAUAUGUGGAGGAAUACCGGUGGCGAAGGCGGCCUCCUGGCUCGAUACUGACGCUGAGGUGCGAAAGCGUGGGGAGCAAACGGGAUUAGAUA